AAUAAGAAAAUAACAAAAGCCAAUAAAAUAGCCAAUUAGAAAUACUGCUCUUGUCGGUAUUUUAAUAAAUUUCUGUCGUUAAAAUAACAAAAGCCACCUUGAAAAACAUGCAUAUGCAAAACUGGCUCACCUGUAUAAAAUAGAAAAGUAACAUAUGGCAAGUGAUGCAUUUGUUUUAGGGAAGAACAUGAACAUUUAUUCUAAUAAUUUUUUAAUUAUUUGUCUGAAGUUUUAUGUGAAAAAGUACAAAAUGGGAAGACCAAGAGGUCAAACAACAAUUGAAGUAAGGAAAUUGAUAAUUAAACAUUCCCAGGAUGGAAAAUCAGUUCGAGAAAUAUCAAAGAUUAUUGACAGAAGCUAUUCUACUGUUUGUAAUAUAAUACAACAUUUUAAGAUCACCA
rnacentral:lncRNA from 1 species